rnacentral:rRNA from 1 species
UGGGGAAUCUUAGACAAUGGGGGAAACCCUGAUCUAGCCAUGCCGCGUGAGUGAUGAAGGCCUUAGGGUUGUAAAGCUCUUUCAGCUGGGAAGAUAAUGACGGUACCAGCAGAAGAAGCCCCGGCUAACUCCGUGUCAG